ACUAUUUUGGCAGAAUUAAGUGCAAUAAAUUUAGAAUUUAUUUAUGUAAUUGUUAUUACAAAUAGUA
rnacentral:tRNA from 1 species